rnacentral:rRNA from 1 species
GAGAGUUAAAUAGUACGUGAAAUUGUUGAAAGGGAAACGAUUGAAGUCAGUCAUGCUAGUGAAAAAUCAGUUUGACGGGUUUUGAGUUCGGGAGUAGAGGCAGGGUCAAACCGUUUCUCUUUUGGACUUGGGAUUUGUCGGAUGUACUUUUUCUUUGGCAGGUCAGCGUCGGUUUCGGAGGUUGUAAAAUACUUGGGGGAAAGUAGCUCUGCUUCGGGAGAGUGUUAUAGACCUUGGGAGAUGCAGCCUGCGGGAUCGAGGAUUGCAGCAAAUGCCAUUGGCUUGUCGCCUGAUCUUUGAUUGUUACCUUGUUUAUGACAACAUUCUUGUCAUCGAUGAGUACUAAUGGUUAUGGGUUAGAACGAUCAAAAAUUUGCUAAGGAUGCUGACGUAAUGGCUUUAAACGA